AUGGUCGCCGCACCGGCGAGCCCGGGAGGUCCGCCCCUCUCUCCGUGCGCCGGCUUCGUCGCGGACUCCCUGAUCCUCCCCACCCGGAACGCGAGGCUGUUCGCGCCGGUCUUCUCGCUCGUCCUCGCCCACACCUUCGUCUUCCUCGCCGUCGCCGUCCACUUCGCCCACGAGUACGCCCUGUCGGGCCCCACGAUCUGGCUGCACCCAGCGGCGCUGCUCGUCCUCCACCUCGCCUACCUCGCCAGCAAGUUCGGGACGCAGGCCGCCGUCGCGCUCGCCGCCUGCGCCACGCUCCGCGGCGACCGGCCGCGCUCGCUCGCCGAGCUCGUGCGCGGCACCCCCCGGCCACGCGGCAUCUUCGCCUGCGCCGCGCUGGUCACCGCCGCGGAGCUCGCGUCCACGGCCGUCCCGGCGUAUUACCUCCACUCCUGGUACAGGUACAGCUGGAGCCACUCGGACACCGGCGGCGUGGAGUCGUUCGUGCAGGGCGUCCUGCUGUUCGUCUUCCUCGCCACGCUCCUCCUCCGCCUCUGCCUCGCCGCGGUCUUCCCGGUCGCCAUCGCCGCGUCGGCGACGGCGGCGACAGAGGAAGGCGGGGACGUCGGUGGCGGCGCGGCCGCUCAUCUCCAGCGCGCGUGGCGGCUCAUGACCGCGGCCGCGAGCUGGAAGGAGGCCGCCCUGCAGGUGCUAGUGGUGAGCGUCGUGCUGCCCCUGGCCACCCACCCGGUGUACGCGUUUGCACUGAACUGCGGGCAGGGCGGGUGCGUGCUUUUGCUCGGCAGCCUGUUCGGGUUCCUUCUGCCGUCCGCCGGCGUGCAGCUCUACUCCGCGGUGGCCGCCACCGUGUUCUACCACCGGGGCAUGGAGCAGCAGCGUCGUCGUGAUCUUGCCAUUCCACUGAUGAUGAAGGACAUGAAGCUAGGAGGUACCCCGCUAAAUUCUCUGAAAUUGAUUAAGGGUGCGAUCGCCUGA
rnacentral:rRNA from 1 species